rnacentral:rRNA from 1 species
UACGUAGGGGGCGAGCGUUGUCCGGAAUCAUUGGGCGUAAAGCGCGUGUAGGCGGCUUGGUAAGUCCGCUCUGAAAGCCCGGGGCUCAACCCCGGGAGGCGGGUGGAUACUGUCAAGCUCGAGUCCGGAAGAGGCGAGUGGAAUUCCUGGUGUAGCGGUGAAAUGCGCAGAUAUCAGGAGGAACACCAAUGGCGAAGGCAGCUCGCUGGGACGUGACUGACACUGAGGGACGAAAGCUAGGGGAGCGAAAGGG